GAUGAACGCUGGCGGCGUGCCUAAUACAUGCAAGUCGAGCGAACAGACGAGGAGCUUGCUCCUCUGACGUUAGCGGCGGACGGGUGAGUAACACGUGGAUAACCUACCUAUAAGACUGGGAUAACUUCGGGAAACCGGAGCUAAUACCGGAUAAUAUAUUGAACCGCAUGGUUCAAUAGUUAAAGACGGUUUUGCUGUCACUUAUAGAUGGAUCCGCGCCGCAUUAGCUAGUUGGUAAGGUAACGGCUUACCAAGGCAACGAUGCUUAGCCGACCUGAGAGGGUGAUCGGCCACACUGGAACUGAGACACGGUCCAGACUCCUACGGGAGGCAGCAGUAGGGAAUCUUCCGCAAUGGGCGAAAGCCUGACGGAGCAACGCCGCGUGAGUGAUGAAGGUCUUCGGAUCGUAAAACUCUGUUAUUAGGGAAGAACAAAUGUGUAAGUAACUAUGCACGUCUUGACGGUACCUAAUCAGAAAGCCACGGCUAACUACGUG
rnacentral:rRNA from 1 species